AUUGAACGCUGGCGGCAGGCCUAACACAUGCAAGUCGAGCGGAUGAAGUGAGCUUGCUCCUGGAUUCAGCGGCGGACGGGUGAGUAAUGCCUAGGAAUCUUCCUGGUAGUGGGGGAUAACGUCCGGAAACGGGCGCUAAUACCGCAUACGUCCUGAGGGAGAAAGUGGGGGAUCUUCGGACCUCACGCUAUCAGAUGAGCCUAGGUCGGAUUAGCUAGUUGGUGGGGUAAAGGCCUACCAAGGCGACGAUCCGUAACUGGUCUGAGAGGAUGAUCAGUCACACUGGAACUGAGACACGGUCCAGACUCCUACGGGAGGCAGCAGUGGGGAAUAUUGGACAAUGGGCGAAAGCCUGAUCCAGCCAUGCCGCGUGUGUGAAGAAGGUCUUCGGAUUGUAAAGCACUUUAAGUUGGGAGGAAGGGCAGUAAGUUAAUACCUUGCUGUUUUGACGUUACCAACAGAAUAAGCACCGGCUAACUUCGUG
rnacentral:rRNA from 1 species